AUUGAACGCUGGCGGCAUGCCUUACACAUGCAAGUCGAACGGCAGCACGGAGCCUGCUCUGGUGGCGAGUGGCGAACGGGUGAGUAAUAUAUCGGAACGUACCCAAGAGUGGGGGAUAACGUAGCGAAAGUUACGCUAAUACCGCAUACGAUCUAAGGAUGAAAGCAGGGGACCGCAAGGCCUUGUGCUCCUGGAGCGGCCGAUAUCUGAUUAGCUAGUUGGUGAGGUAAAGGCUCACCAAGGCAUCGAUCAGUAGCUGGUCUGAGAGGACGACCCGCCACACUGGAACUGAGGCACGGUCCAGCCUCCGACGGGAGGCAGAAGUGGGGAAUUUGGACAAUGGGGGCAACCCUGAUUCGGCAAUGCCGCGUGAGUGAGGAAGGCCUUCGGGUUGUAAAGCUCUUUUGUCAGGGAAGAAACGGUCGUGGCUAAUAUCCAUGGCUAAUGACGGUACCUGAAGAAUAAGCACCGGCUAACUACGUGCCAGCAGCCGCAGUAA
rnacentral:rRNA from 1 species